CCUACGGGUGGCAGCAGUGGGGAAUAUUGGUCAAUGGACGAAAGUCUGAACCAGCCAAGUAGCGUGAAGGAUGACUGCCCUAUGGGUUGUAAACUUCUUUUAUAUGGGAGUAAAAUGUUCCACGUGUGGGAUUUUGUAUGUACAAUAUGAAUAAGGAUCGGCUAACUCCGUGCCAGCAGCCGCGGUAAUACGGAGGAUCCGAGCGUUAUCCGAAUUUAUUGGGUGUAAAGGGAGCGUAGGCGGAAUGUUAAGUCAGUUGUGAAAGUUGGCGGCUCAACCGUCAAAUUGCAGUUGAAACUGGCAGUCUUGAGUACAGGAGAGGUGGGUGGAAUUCGUGGUGUAGCGGUGAAAUGCGUAGAUAUUACGAAGAACUCCGAUUGCGAAGGCAGCUCACUGGACUGCAACUGACACUGAGGCUCGAAAGUGUGGGUAUCAAACAGGAUUAGAUACCCCUGUAGUC
rnacentral:rRNA from 1 species